UGCUUCCUUUUGGGGGGUACAUACUUAUUCCUCCUCCUACCUCUAGUCCACCUUCAUGAAGUUCUGUGAUAAAAGGAUAGACAUGGUUUCUAGGUUAUAAUCCAUGUCUGGGGAAGGAUGCAAUGCUCUUUCGAGAAAUAAAAGAGUCUGAGUGAAAGCCAGGAGAGUCUGAACCACAAGAUGGAUCUCAGGUUAUUUACUUUGCAAUAUUUACCAGGAUCUACCAGGACAACUGAGAAGAAGUACUCGAGAAGUAACUGAGCCAUUCAUUAUGAGAGGGGACAGUUGAGAGGAAGAGAAGAAAUGAAGCAAUGUUUGUGGCCACCUCCUUCUCACAAAAUAUCCAAGGAAUUGGGAUCUGAGUUGGCCACUAGAGGCAUGAGAUACCCUAGAGGUUUAAUGCAGGCAACCAUGGGGGUUUAAUGAGAACAAUCAGGCCUGAUCAAGAGCAGACAAGCAGCAAAGCCCAGACAGUGGCACCUGAGCUCUUGUGAGCUCCAUCUCUAGGUGAGCUGUGCUUUCUCCAUGUGUUGCCCGCCUUUCUCUGCUGCCCAGGAUUCGGAUGCCCUGGGAUGGGCUCAGAACUAUAUUAAACCAGAUUACUGUAACCUGGGAACCGUGUACC
rnacentral:lncRNA from 1 species